rnacentral:rRNA from 1 species
GAUGAACGCUGGCGGCGUGCCUAAUACAUGCAAGUCGAGCGAACAGAUGAGGAGCUUGCUCCUCUGACGUUAGCGGCGGACGGGUGAGUAACACGUGGAUAACCUACCUAUAAGACUGGGAUAACUUCGGGAAACCGGAGCUAAUACCGGAUAAUAUAUUGAACCGCAUGGUUCCAUAGUGAAAGACGGUUUUGCUGUCACUUAUAGAUGGAUCCGCGCCGCAUUAGCUAGUUGGUAAGGUAACGGCUUACCAAGGUAACGAUGCGUAGCCGACCUGAGAGGGUGAUCGGCCACACUGGAACUGAGACACGGUCCAGACUCCUACGGGAGGCAGCAGUAGGGAAUCUUCCGCAAUGGGCGAAAGCCUGACGGAGCAACGCCGCGUGAGUGAUGAAGGUCUUCGGAUCGUAAAACUCUGUUAUUAGGGAAGAACAAAUGUGUAAGUAACUAUGCACGUCUUGACGGUACCUAAUCAGAAAGCCACGGCUAACUACGUG